rnacentral:lncRNA from 10 species
AGAAGUGGUUUCGAAGUAAUAAGUAGAAACAAAAAGUAACCUAACCUCUUCAAGAUAAGCAGCAGAACCAGCAAGAGUGCUGCUGUGCUGUGUGAGGAGAAUCAAUUAUACAGAAGGCAAUUAAACCUGUCACUUCAAAACUGUCAAAUACAAACGAAUGGUUUGUCCUUAAAAUGAAAAUAGUGAAUCAUUCCACGUGGAAAAGAAUUGCUUCAUAUCAUUUGAAGAACUUCAAAAUAAAAUAUCUCUAGUGAGGCCCUACACACAUAUUAAGCUAGCAGAAAUAGGCUGGAAUGAUAAAAUUUCAUGUUGGUCAAGCUGUGGGAAAACCAGCAUGCCUCACACCCCUGGUGGGGUUGUAUAUUGGCUCUGUGUGUCUGGAAAGUAAUACUGUAAUAUGCAACCA